rnacentral:rRNA from 1 species
UAAGGCCGAUGGCGACCGGCGCACGGGUGAGUAACACGUAUCCAACCUGCCGUCUACUCUUGGACAGCCUUCUGAAAGGAAGAUUAAUACAAGAUGGCAUCAUGAGUCCGCAUGUUCACAUGAUUAAAGGUAUUCCGGUAGACGAUGGGGAUGCGUUCCAUUAGAUAGUAGGCGGGGUAACGGCCCACCUAGUCUUCGAUGGAUAGGGGUUCUGAGAGGAAGGUCCCCCACAUUGGAACUGAGACACGGUCCAAACUCCUACGGGAGGCAGCAGUGAGGAAUAUUGGUCAAUGGGCGAGAGCCUGAACCAGCCAAGUAGCGUGAAGGAUGACUGCCCUAUGGGUUGUAAACUUCUUUUAUAAAGGAAUAAAGUCGGGUAUGCAUACCCGUUUGCAUGUACUUUAUGAAUAAGGAUCGGCUAACUCCGUGCCAGCAGCCGCGGUAAUACGGAGGAUUCGAGCGUUAUCCGGAUUUAUUGGGUUUAAAGGGAGCGUAGAUGGAUGUUUAAGUCAGUUGUGAAAGUUUGCGGCUCAACCGUAAAAUUGCAGUUGAUACUGGAUAUCUUGAGUGCAGUUGAGGCAGGCGGAAUUCGUGGUGUAGCGGUGAAA